rfam:Mesorhizobium sp. LSHC420B00 scaffold0041, whole genome shotgun sequence.
CUUCCUCGAUCUGCUGCGGGCAGAUGAAGUGGAUAUGCGCGUCGAAGCCGCCGGCGGUCAGGAUCUUGCCCUCGCCGGCGAUGAUCUCGGUGCCCGGGCCGAUGAUGAUGGUGACGCCGCCUUGAGUAUCCGGAUUGCCGGCCUUGCCGAUCGCGGCGAUACGGCCGUCCCUGAGGCCGAUAUCUGCCUUGACGAUACCGGCGGUGGCAUCGACGACCAGCGCAUUGGUGAUGACGGUGUCGACCGCGCCUUGCGCGCGCGAAACCUGGCUCUGGCCCAUGCCAUCGCGGAUG